rnacentral:rRNA from 1 species
UUUAAUAUAUUUUAUAAAAUUAAUGAACUUUUAAAUCUCAGCCUUUUAGUCUACAUAGCACAGUAUAACUGCUAAAUAUUUUCUAGUUUAUAAAAUUGUAGUAUAAAAUACGCGAGUUACUGUUAGGUGGUAAAAUUAGUGCCAGCAGCUGCGGUUAGACUAAGCCCUUUUUGUGCUAUCGGGAGUAUUUAUUAUAUUUUUAUUUAAAAUUAAAAGGUAAAAAUUAAAAUUAUUGUUUUAGUAAUAUAUAAAAUAAAAAGCAAACAUUAAAAUAGGAUUAGAUACCCUAGUAUCUCGUCGACUAGCCCUUACCAUUAAAGAUAAAAUAAGAAUAUUUGGCGGCUUUGGGUUAUUAGAGGGGCUUGUCAGUAAACGAUAACCCGCGUUUAGUUUCGCUUAAUUAAAUUUUGUAUGCCUUCAUAUAGAUUAUAUUUUAUAGCGUAUAAUUUAAAAAAAUAGAUCAAGGUGCAGAAAUUUUUAAGCUAGAUUAGCCACAAUACUUAUCAGUAGCACGAACAAUUAACUCAUCAGGCGGAUUUAAUUUUAAUGCUUAAACUUAUGACUUUUAAACCUAAAGUGUUCAGAUCGCCCGUCACUCUCUAUGAGAUAAGUCGAAACAAAGUAAGCCCACUGGAAGGUAGGCCUA